rnacentral:rRNA from 1 species
GGCCUAUCAGCUUGUUGGUGGGGUAAAGGCCUACCAAGGCGACGACGGGUAGCCGGCCUGAGAGGGCGACCGGCCACACUGGGACUGAGACACGGCCCAGACUCCUACGGGAGGCAGCAGUGGGGAAUAUUGCACAAUGGGGGAAACCCUGAUGCAGCGACGCCGCGUGAGGGAUGACGGCCUUCGGGUUGUAAACCUCUUUCAGUAGGGAAGAAGCCUUUCGAGGUGACGGUACCUGCAGAAGAAGUACCGGCUAACUACGUGCCAGCAGCCGCGGUAAUACGUAGGGUACAAGCGUUGUCCGGAAUUAUUGGGCGUAAAGAGCUCGUAGGCGGUCCGUCGCGUCUGCUGUGGAAACGCAAGGCUCAACCUUGCGCGUGCAGUGGGUACGGGCGGACUAGAGUGCAGUAGGGGAGUCUGGAAUUCCUGGUGUAGCGGUGAAAUGCGCAGAUAUCAGGAGGAACACCGGUGGCGAAGGCGGGACUCUGGGCUGUUACUGACGCUGAGGAGCGAAAGCAUGGGGAGCGAACAGGAUUAGAUACCCUGGUAGUCCAUGCCGUAAACGUUGGGCACUAGGUGUGGGGCUCAUUCCACGAGUUCCGCGCCGCAGCUAACGCAUUAAGUGCCCCGCCUGGGGAGUACGGCCGCAAGGCUAAAACUCAAAGGAAUUGACGGGGGCCCGCACAAGCGGCGGAGCAUGCGGAUUAAUUCGAUGCAACGCGAAGAACCUUACCAAGGCUUGACAUACACCGGAAUGUGCCAGAGAUGGUUCAGCCCUUUGGGCUGGUGUACAGGUGGUGCAUGGUUGUCGUCAGCUCGUGUCGUGAGAUGUUGGGUUAAGUCCCGCAACGAGCGCAACCCUCGUUCUAUGUUGCCAGCACGUGAUGGUGGGAACUCAUAGGAGACUGCCGGGGUCAACUCGGAGGAAGGUGGGGAUGACGUCAAAUCAUCAUGCCCUUUAUGUCUUGGGCUUCACGCAUGCUACAAUGGUCGGUACAAAGGGUUGCGAGACCGUGAGGUGGAGCGAAUCCCAGAAAGCCGAUCUCAGUUCGGAUCGUAGUCUGCAACUCGACUACGUGAAGUCGGAGUCGCUAGUAAUCGCAGAUCAGCAAC